GCUGCUGCUGAGACAGAAACUUAAAAUGGAUAAUAAGAGUAAAAAACGCCCGGGUGGCGCUGAGAAGCAUCGGGAAAAAAAGCUGAAGUGUCUGGAGGUGUUGGCUGCUAAAUGUGCCAAACUGACGGACCUGUUUGGUGCCGGGUUCACCAGCCCAGCAGCAGCAGGUGCGCCGGGAGACGAGCGAGGAGGACUCGACAAUGAUGAGCGAGUGGAGGCAGACAUGGUAAGUAACGUUGGCCUGGGGCUGGCUAGGCUACAUUUUUUAGACAUGUCCAAAACAAAGUAGAAAACGUUUUUGAUUUUGUUUUAAUUUGCCGAAUUGUGAUAUUAUGGGUUAUUAUUGUUCAGAUGAUUUAGCUAAGCUAGCUAAGAGCUGCUAACGUCGUUUACUGUUGCCAUAGCUGAGCUGUAAAUAGAGAUGCAGAAUCAAGCUGUAUUGAAAACAGAAUACAAGUAAACCUAUAGGGAAUAAUUAGUUUAAUUUUAAAUAUUUGCCAUUGAAUUUAUUGUAAUCUUUCAAUUCAUUUAUUGUUUACUGAGGUGAUAACUAUUUAAUAGGUAUAAUUUGUGUGUAAAUGUUCCACUGAUAAGGUGAGAAAUAUUUAAUAUUAUUGUUAUUAUCACACAAGUUUUAUUGUGCUUAUGUGUUGAUCCUUAAUGAUGUGAUCAUGUACACUAAAUGAUCAAUUAUUCUCCAUUACAGGUUGUUGUGAUAUAUUUGAGGAGUCGUUCUCCCUCUGUUUUAUAUGUGGACAUUUGGGACCACUGUUAGAAUUUGGUUGACCACUUGACAUGUGAGAGCCUGAGGAGUUGUUCCCCCUCUGUCCAUGUUCGAGGACUUGCUCUCUGUCUGUCUCCACUCUCUGCCUUCACUGUACCAAAGUUUGUCUGUUGAGUCUCCUCUAGUCUGGUUGACCACUUGACAUGUGAGAGCCUGAGGAGUUGUUUUCCAGACAAAGGUAGAGCUGGCAGGGGCGUCACCCUGGGCCUGCCCUUUUGGGCUGGGCUUCAGCUGCAGAUCUAAAGGCUGCUUCCAGGGGCAUGGGGCCCUCAGCCUUUGUUUUUCUUUGCUUCUGCACCUUACAACAUACAUCACACCUUAUUUUCACACAUCCAAACACUGUUAACACCACUGACGCGUAACAUAUUUUACACAUCCCACUACGUAGUUAGAGCUAUCUUGAUUUGGAGUUAAAUAAAUUUACUUUUGGCUUGA